rnacentral:rRNA from 1 species
GACAGAGGGUGCAAACGUUGUUCGGAAUGACUGGGCGUAAAGGGCGCGUAGGCGGUUUGUACAGUCAGGUGUGAAAUUCCCGGGCUCAACCUGGGGGCUGCACUUGAUACGUAUGGACUGGAGUGGGGAAGAGGGUCGUGGAAUUCCCAGUGUAGAGGUGAAAUUCGUAGAUAUUGGGAAGAACACCGGUGGCGAAGGCGGCGACCUGGUCCUUGACUGACGCUGAGGCGCGAAAAGCGUGGGGGAGCAAACAGG